AAAAAAGUUUAUAUAAAUUUUGAUUCAUAUUUGAUAUCUAUAUACAAAUUCAAAUCGUGAGAUUUUCAUUAUUGUCACAAUAAACAUAAUCAAUACAUAAAAAACACAGAGAGAGAAAAAAAUCACAAAAUAACAGGGAUCCCUAAUCAUUGACUAAGUAAAAAUGCCGUACUGAACUAUCCGCUAUAUCCAAGAUUCAUCCAAUUGUACUAUAACUGUGAUCAUCUCUAGGAUCAUCGGUCUCUGGCUAUAUACGUGCCAAAAUAAAUUUUAAUGUAUAUAAAUAAGCCUGUUAAGCAAACACUAUAUAAAAAAAACUUGAUGAAGCAGGGAGAGCUCAACGACUGUGCAAGGGCUGUAUAUCCAGUCAAGGUCGUUAGAAACUUCCAUCGUCGGAAAGAAAAAAAAUCAUCCGAG
rnacentral:lncRNA from 1 species